rnacentral:lncRNA from 1 species
UUCUAUUUAAUUAAUCUAGGUUUAAUAUGUUUACUUAAAUCAGGUUUUUUAGUUUGAUUGUGUAUAUCCUUGUCUUAGCCUACAUGGAAAAGGGAAACUUCUGUUUUGGCCACGAUUCUCAGCAGGGGUAGAGAGGUAACUUGUGCUACCAAAAGUAAAUUAGGGUCCCACUGGGCGUGCCAAUGUUUUGGCCACGAUCCUCAGCAGGGGUAGAGAGGUAACUUGUGCUACCAAAAGUAAAUUAGGGUUUGCAGGGCGUGCCACCGCGCGGACGCGGAACGAGAACGGUGCGCGUUCUUGACUUCUAAUCAGGCGAAGUAGAGCUCCGGUGUCACCUCGCGGGCGAGGAAUUACGAGCAAACUAUCUAGUCACCUGUGAAUCGAUACUCACUGUUUGAAGCGAGCAGAGCAAUAAUUGGGAAAGAGAGGCGAGUCUAGACGGGCUCUGAGAUCUAAGGCGAGGUGCACUUAGAACUUAGGGUUUCGAGGAUGCUCGAAGAUUUGCAGUUGUUUUGUAUGAUUGAUCGUCUGUUUUGUUCGUUGUGUCAAGCUCCCUUAUAUAGCGAUCCGCAAGCAAUUCGCAGAGACCUAAUCACAAAUCCAUUCGGACUCAGCAAUUAGAAUUCCACCAGGAAACGACCAGCUCGCGAGCCGCGCGAUCCAUGCAACACGUGUCCAAAACAGACUUCGCCUAGGUCUCGCUCACCGCCCCGCAUCAUAUCACUGUAGCGUCGUACGCGAACUCGAGCACUAAGCGAUCCUAUCCCGCGGGUACUACAGUCCAUUUCCAACUCUACCUCGCCAUGCACUGUAGAAUCCUACACGAACUAGAAGAAAGGAUCCCGCGAGGACAUCGAAUCCCGCGAGGUAAUUGAAUCCUUGCACAAUUCCAACUCCUUGAAACAGGGGCAGCCCUGCUCGGUCCGACUCCUUCACAACCUCCGUCCGCCGCUGAUCUGAACCACUAUACCGCCUCUGUGCACUGACCAAUCCUUGCCCAACGUCGUGAGCCGGGAAACUUCGCCUCCUGGUUCCACCAAGCCCGCUCUCACACAAAUAUCCGGGUCGGGGAAUGGCCCAGCGUCACCGCGGAGGACCGGGCAUGGUAUGCGGCUCGCCUCCAGACCGAUCAAGCGAUCUGGGAAGCAACCGGCAUCAGCGAAGCCAUUGCCUUGAGCUUCUCACUACCUCCUCACGCUGAUCGAGCACCCAUCGCUGCCGCGGCCUGCUUAUGGAACAGUGCCACCAACACUUUCGAUUUUCCUUUCGGGGAACUGGGCAUUUCUCUGCUGGACAUCCUCGCCAUCAUCGGGCUACCAAUUCAUGCAAAGCCAUAUGCGCCAGGCGACUUUGCAUCGACCGAGUUUACGCACUCCUGCAACCUGGGGGCCCGCCGCGCCCUGAAAGGCUCGUAUGGAGUAUGGAGGAAGUUCUACAUCGGCCAUGCAGAACAACACGAAGGAGGUAUCGCUUUCCUUGAGUAUUGGCUUGAUAAAUUCAUAUUCUGUGGCAGUGCUCACAAGCCUACAGGGAAAUGGAUAAAGCUGGCCGAGGCACUCUACAAUGGGAUCGAAGUAGGGCUAGGGUAGCCCGUGCUGGGCGCGCUCUACCGGACCCUGCACAUGCUGUCCCUAAGACCCUUCCAUCUCUCUGCUGGCCCUCUGUGGAUCCUGGACUUAUGGACACAGCUGUACUUCCCGCUCUUUCGGCGAGCCCCGCUGGAAUUUCUACCCGAGGACCAAGUGCUUGGCUUCGCGGUGUGCAGGAACGCUGCGAACCGGACUCCCCUGUCUUUCUUCGCCAGCCUCUCCAUCUUGUACAACCAACUCGAACCGCCUCCCACCAUAGACAUGAUGGUUCACCGGCGCCAUCCUGAAGUCUUAUCAACGGGCUUCUUCCCUCGCUCUGACUCGGACUCUGACGCCAAGACCGUCUUCAUGAGAGCAUCCUCAUGCUGCGACCUUCAGCUCGCCGAGGAUGAACAAGGCUUCAAGCUGUAUGCCCCCAACCACUUCGCCAGACUUGAAUUCUCUCAAGGGAUCCCCUAUCCACUCUUCCAUUCGGUGAACAAGUACACCUCCUGGAGGAAGAUUGGCGAGUCCGACCGGGUUACCCCGCUGCAGAACAUUUUCCCUCUUACUCCUGACUUGCUGGAGAUUAAGCCUUCGCUGGGUGUUGACCCCGCUUACCUCUCUUGGUGGCGAUCCUUAUCCGACAACCAUUAGGGGUUCCCAGAUGAUGCUGUCUUCGCUGCCAUCUUUUAUCCUCUGUACGACACUCUGGGCGAGUCAGACCGCGUCAUUCUUGAUGCCCAGCGCGACAGUGAAGAGGGCGGUUCAAAGGCUGCGACAGGGUCUAGGCCUGCGCUCCCACCAGUUCCUGCUACUCGUCGCUCGACGGGGAUCGUCAUUCGAGAACGCGAACCUACACCCGAGGUAUGCCACUAACUGUGUAAAUUUCAAACCGCCUUUAUCACUUCGACAAAAUGCUUCUCCUAACUCUCCUGUCUAUCUUUACAGUCUGCCUCCCGCCGGAGAACUAUCAGAAGACCUGAGGGUGCCGGAGACAAAGGGAAAGCGCCUGCUCAAGAGGAGCCCGCGGCGGACCAUGAUGGUGAGACUGCUCCCGUUAUUCCCCGGCCAACAAGCGGCGAAGGCUCGCGGAAGCGCCCUGUCGAGGACGAAGAAGAGCUGCUAGAGGAUGAACGAUAUCGGCAAGAGCACGCUUUGGUAAGCGACUUUUCUUCGAACCAAACUCAUUAAAGCCAAUAAACGAUUUGCUAACUUUGUAUUUAACAGGUUUGCCCCCGCAUCCGACCUCGCCUCACUGUCAUUGAAGGAGCAACAACAAUAGUUGAAGUCCCAAUCCCGGAACAAAUCGUCGGGGAUUAAACCAUGGUUACAGAGGAAAUCGCCAUGCGACCCCCUUCUCCAACCGACGGUCUAGGCGAAACUGGCCCGCCUUCAGAGCCUACCUCGGCUCCUGCUCAAGAUGAAGAUCUCGGCCAGACCACCCGACUUUCUGAUUUUGCUUCCCCCUCGGCGGUUCCGCCAAAGGACCUUCAACCGGUGCUUGAGCCCUCUCCUUUGCAACCAGACUCAGCGGCCCAGACCACCGAAGAACCGACAGUCCCUAUUCGGUUUGAGGCCCCACCGCCCGUUCCAGAGAUUGAGGCGGUUGCAGAGGUUGAACCAACCACUCCGGCCCCAACGAGAACAUCCGGGGAGGCGGCUUCUUCUUUGGCUACCCGAAUCGCUCGUCUUCGGGCCCGGACUACCCCGCCUGUCGAUCCAGAGCCCAUUCUCCUGGCCCGGGCUUUCUUUCACGGGUUACUGCGCCAAGGUCCCCACAUGAACGUAUUCGACUUGGUGAGGCGCACCCGCGAGGCCCAUGAAGCUCUGAUUCGGCACCUCGCUGGCAGCAACCCUGCUCUAGACCAUGUGUUCGAACUUACUGACGCUGUCGAGCUGCAGGCUCGCCGAGUUCAAGAUGUCGGUGCCCAGUCGGCUGCUCACGAGAAAGUCCACCAAGCCUUAGACGAUCAGAUGGCAGCCCUUUUAGCCGAGCUUGAAGACGCUGAAAUCCCUGAGGCGUCUUUAGAGAACCCAUGCACUGUCUAUGCUCGGCAGGUGGAGGCCCUGGAGGCUCAGAUAGCGGAGCUGCAAGCUCAGCUUGCUCAAGCUCGCCAGAACUUGGCCCGAGCUGAUGAAGCAGAAACCCGCGUGCAGGCCGCGGAAGAGACCCAGGAAGCUUUGGACUCGGCUAUUGCUGCUGCCGAGAAGCCCAAGCCCAGGCGGAUGUUGNNNNNNNNNNNNNNNNNNNNGGCAGAGUGGCUCUGAUACCAUUUGUCACAUCCCGGGACCCGCUCCGCCGUAACACGAUAUUGUCCGCUUUGGGCCCACCGGCCCUCACGGUUUUGUUUCCGGCAGCUCAGGAGCAACUUCCCAGUAGGUCACCCAUCCUGGGAUUGCUCUCGCAUCGACAUGCUUAACCUCGGAGUACCCAUCCCCUCCGAAGCCGCUGAGCCACCAAAAGGCCUCGUAUUAGAUUGGUGGUGGGCAUGUACAUAUACAGCACAUAACCCCUCUCCGUUUGGCCGAUGUGGGAUAUUACAUACUGUGCCAAGGUCCCCACAUGAACGUAUUCGACUUGGUGAGGCGCGCCCGCGAGGCCCAUGAAGCUCUGAUUCGGCACCUCUCUGGGAACAACCCUGCUCUAGACCAUGUGUUGGAACUCACCGACGCUGUCGAGCUGCAGGCUCGCCGAGUUCAAGAUGUCGGUGCCCAGUCGGCUGCUCACGAGAAAGUCCGCCAAGCCUUAGACGAUCAGAUGGUAGCCCUUUUAGCCGAGCUUGAAGACGCUGAAAUCCCUGAGGCGUCUUUAGAGAACCCAUGCACUGUCUAUGCUCGGCAGGUGGAGGCCCUGGAGGCUCAGAUAGCGGAGCUGCAAGCUCAGCUUGCUCAAGCUCGCCAGAACUUGGCCCGAGCUGAUGAAGCAGAAACCCGCGUGCAGGCCGCGGAAGAGACCCAGGAAGCUUUGGACUCGGCUAUUGCUGCUGCCGACGAAGCCCAAGCCCAGGCGGAUGUUGAAGAGUUGGCCUUAGAAGGCCUUCUCAUAGAUUUGUAUAGGGCUUCUAGGCGGGUUUAGGUCUGACCAGCGCUUUGCCCCCUUUGUAUGAACCUUUAAUAUUAUUAUUGAAUCAAAUUCUUCCCGUUCUUGUCAAUUCUUGUGUAAGAACCGCCUUCCCAGGAAAAAAUCUUCAUCCAAGAUUUGGUGGGGGUUUCCAAUGCAACUACUCGCUUGGAACGCGGGCAGUCAUUAUGGAACAACGCGUCCGACCUUAUCUCCAAAGCUCAUAUCUCGGAGCAAAUCGCUGCAUGGAGGACAUCUGUUGAAAGGAAAAUCACCCUUUUCGCCUAUAAAAAGAAACGCUUGGCCGGGGCGAAGAACCAGUUAAGUCUUUGCCCCUUGCCAUGGGCUCUUAUACCCUUCUGUACAUCCUCUUGUCCCUGCUUAAAGCAAAGCCCCCACCUCACAUUUUCAUUAUUCGUUCUUGCUGAUUCUGAAAAUCUACUCUCANNNNNNNNNNNNNNNNNNNNNNNNNNNNNNNNNNNNNNNNNNNNNNNNNNNNNNNNNNNNNNNNNNNNNNNNNNNNNNNNNNNNNNNNNNNNNNNNNNNNNNNNNNNNNNNNNNNNNNNNNNNNNNNNNNNNNNNNNNNNNNNNNNNNNNNNNNNNNNNNNNNNNNNNNNNNNNNNNNNNNNNNNNNNNNNNNNNNNNNNNNNNNNNNNNNNNNNNNNNNNNNNNNNNNNNNNNNNNNNNNNNNNNNNNNNNNNNNNNNNNNNNNNNNNNNNNGUCUUCUACCCCGGAUUGCCCCCUAGUGUUAGGCGGCGGAGCGAGAACGCGAUAGCGCGUAGCACUAUUGACUGUGGUGACGGGGUCGGGGGAAGGUGGAGGAUCCUCGCGUUCCCAAACUCCUGCAAUGUGGCGCUUGAGGAAGCGGCCAUUAAUAGGAUUGCGAUGAAUGGUACCGUCCAAGUCGCGCAGGUGGUAUGCCCCCUUGGGGAGUAUGCGAUGAAUAAUAAAGAGGCCUUCCCAUCGAGCGGACCACUUACCCCGACCGUUGGUUUUUUCCCCAAGUGGGAGAACCGCACGCCACACUUUCUGGCCCUCAGCAUAGCUCCGUCCGCGCGUGACCUUAUCAGACGAACGUGCGAUGCGUUGUUUCUCGAGGACGAGAUGUUGAAAGCGGUGACGCGGUGCUCGUCAAGAUCUUCAAGUUCCUGCCACAUAGCUUGGACAUAAUCCUCGCCAAGUAGUUGAUGCUGUUCCUAAACGCGGAGUGAAGCGAUAUUGAUCUCAAGGGGAAGGACGGCAUCGUGACCGUACAUGAGAGCAUACGGGGUGGUAUCCGUCGGGCCGCGCUUUGAAGUGCGGUAAGCCCACAAGGUGUGGUAGAGUUCCUCAUGCCAGACACGCGGGUUUAACUCCAACAUCUUGCGGAGGAUGCCAAGCGGAAGGCGGUCUUGUGUCGAUCUUCCUCGACGACGGGAAUCUGAUGGUAGCCGGCCGUUCCAUCCAUAAAGGAUAACACCUCGUGCCCCGCGGCGGCAUCAAUGAGUAGGUCAGCCACAGGCAUGGGGUAUAUAUCCUUCGGUGUUGCGUUGUCUAGGUCGCGGUAAUCAACACAGACGCACAUCUUGCCAUUUUUCUUGCGGAUGGGGACAACAUUGGACAGCCACUCGCUAUACUUUGCCACGCGAAUGAUGUCCGAUCGGUGCAUGCUUUCGAUCUCUUCCUUGACUACGAUCUGAGUCUCAGUUCGCAUGAAUCGGCCGUCCUGCCGUACCGGACGUCGGUCGGGAUAAGUUGGUAACCGAUGGCAGACCAAGUCCGGGGACAAGCCGGGCAUGUCUUUGUAUUUGUCGGCGAAGCAAUCCCUGUACUCGCAUAACAGGGAAAGAAGGGUUUCCUUUUCGUCCUCCGCCAACUUAGCACUGAUAGAAAUAAGUAAGGGCUUUUCUGCAGUCCCUACGUCAACUUGUGAAAUGGGGUCGCAGACUUGAGGUGGUGUGUCGUCCAAGGCGGCGGGAGCUAAGUGAAUAACUUCCUCCUUGGUAUCGGAAUAAUCCACCACUUCAUCUACAUAUUCCAUAGUCGCGACCUUGUCGUAGGCUUCGCGUUCUGCCCAGUACGAAAGGAGUCUUUCGCACAAGGACUAGCCAGCCUCGCGUGUCUCCUCUGAGAAGGCACUAUUCAUCAGAACGGGGUGUGGGAUUCGCGAUGGUGUGAGGACGUUGCAAGUCGUCCUUUGCCUGGGUAAGUCCCCAUUGCGUUAAAUUGGAGGCCGUGGUUCCAUAUGGGCGGCCCUUGUUAUCGACGCCUUGAACAUCCAACGGACCCAAGUCUGUAGUAUAAUAUCGGGCAUCGUUGAAGUUGGCAGAGAUAGAGAAUGGCCGCGGGUCGGCUUUGAUGAUGACUGCUUCUCGGUUCUCGGCGUCCCAAAUCAUGAGUUCUUGGUGCAUGCAGGAAGGCACGCAAAAACUUUUGUGGAUCCAAUCUCGGCCAAGAAUGAUGCUGUAAGAGGAAGCGCAUUCGGCGACGAAAAAGGUGUAAACCCGUGAUGCCGGCCCGACCUUGACCCGUAGGAAUAGCAAACCUAGGGUUCUGGACACUUGCCCGGUGACGUUCUUGACUGUUAAGGACGUGGUUUGGAUCAUCGAGCGCGGGAUGUGUAGGAGUCCCAUGGUACGGGUUGUGACAACAUUGACCGGGGCACCGGUGUCGACCAUGACCUUGUUGAUCAUUUUUCCUUCGACUUCGGCCGUGAUAUACAGUGGCCGCAUGUGAGUGGCCAUGUCCAAAGUUGGUGUGGAGAAGGUUAGAGUUUGCUUAUGUUUGAUGCUGCUCGUAAUUUCCACCUGUGGGGCGUCGUCGGGCUGUGCCGGAACUGGGCCCAUUUCGCUGCUGCAUGGCGGGGGUAUGCUACUGACAUCCUCGCUGCUGACGGGAAUAUCCGCCGCACUGCAGGUUGUGUUUGGUGGGAGAGCGUAUCUUUCCGAAAUGAAGAACACCAUCCCGACUUGAAAGGAGAAUUGUUCAGGAAUUGGGACCAGGGGAGUGUCAAUGAUCCCGUGUUCCCCUUCGAGCAACGCGAAAGCGUCUGCUUCGCGGCUAAACCCUUCAUCAGCACCCCAUCCUGAAACCUCUACCAUAUUACAGGUGAAUGAUUCUUCCUACUCUUCGUCCCGGUCUUCCUCUAGGUUAAGGCGAGGUUCUGAAUGUGCCUCGUCGUCUUCUGAAUUCUCGCGGAAACGCUGGGCCAUUUGUUGGGCGAGGUUAGGACUAGAAGGCGCCUGUGCGGCUAUUGGUGGCUCUUGAGUCUCGGGUUGCCGCGGACGCCAUACUGACUUGGUUGAAGGCUGAUGGUCCUUGGCUGGUUGUUUGUCUGUUGCCAGAGGAGCCUUAUCGUUGUCUUCUUUUUUCAACCGUUGUAGGGCGGAUACUCGGGGAACCAUCCGAGUCUCGGGCUCUGGGGUAGAUCGUGCCCGGGGCUGGUGUGGUGGUGGUGGCUCCCUUUUGAUAUUGGCCUCCGGAUUUUGACUUUCCCUUUGCCGUGAGGGCUGAGACGGUUCGCGUUUGGACUCUGGGUCCGGGGUUGUGAACAGCUUACGCCUGGGACCGGUAGGCGGAGUCUUUCUCCGCUCGGGCUCUGGUGGCGGCCUGUGCUUGGAAGGCUGUUGAUCCCUCCUCUUUUCAGGCUCUGGUGACGGCUUGGGUCUAGCAGGCUGUGGAUCCCUUCUUCUUUCAGGUUCUGGUGAUGGCCUGCGCCGGGAAGGCUGUGGAUCCCUUCUUCUUUCAGGUUCUGGUGAUGGCCUGCGCCUGGAAGGCUGUGGAUCCUGCUUUGGUGGAACCGCGAGUCGGCAAAAGACAUUUGCUUUGGGUGCAGGCUCGUCGCUGAACUGCUCGCAAAUCCUUGGGGGUGUGACAGGCGGCAUUUGAAGGAAUGCGCGCAUACCCUCUGCUUCCCUCCACAUCCGCUCAGGCGUCUGUGCGAGCUGUGAGGGGCGUACAGCACCCUCUUAGACAGCCCGUAAGGCACGUUUGAUACUACCGUAUCGCUUUUGGAGCUUUCGCUUCUUAGACCUGCUGAUGGUGACUGCCUUGCCCCCUUGCUGUGUAUACCAGACCCCGUCCUUGAUCGCUGAUUUGGAUGUCGGGGCAAUAUAGGGGUCGGUUAGGACGCCUUUACGAGGGCUCGCGGCCUCGUUGCUGUGACGUUCACCGCUGGAGUCUGACAUGUCCAUCUCACUUGUGGCAGGGGAUGAAGGUACCGCCUCUGCCCAAUGUGUAUAGACGAACGUCUCGAGACGUUCUAUCCUCCUUUCCAGCUCUUCUCAAGUCUUGGGACUCAUAGGCUGGGAGUCUUCAACGGGGGACGGUCCAUCGUCCCUCAUGACUGCUUUGCCCUUAUCCUUGCGGGAGGGGCGGUCUGUGUCGAGCUUAGCGACCAACUAUCGAGCUGGGUCGUCUGCUUUCCCCUGCUGGUUAUUUAGGACAGUAUAGUUAUUCGCCGGCCGUUUGCGAUUACGGCCCGGCGGUUCACGUAAACCUGCAUUUGGCGACAAGUCUAAUGUGAUUCUUCGCUGGCCGACUCGAGGCCAAGCGAAGUCAGCCGUUGCGAUCAUGAAGUCGCCCUUAUUCUCAAAGCAAAUAUACCCGAGGUCGAGCCAGUCUUGAACCUGGUCUCUAAGCUGCUGGCAUUCGCUGGUUCUGUGCCCGCAGCUAUUAUGAAACUUGCAGUGAAUGCGCCCCUCCUUAUAUUCUAUGUAAGGCAAGGAAUUGGCCACUGUGACGAGCCCAUCGUCGAUGAGAUCGUCUAAAACCUCAUGUGCAAGUUCUUCGUUGUAGGUGUAUUGGCGACGUGGCCUGCGGGCACUGUCGUCACCUUCCUCGCGGCCCCUUUUAGGUGCCCGGCGUCGAUCGUCGUCCUUGGUCUGAUUGGCCCAGUUUACCUCGACCAUGCUAACUACAGGCGGGAAAGGGUCUAUAUCAACCAAUGAGGCCGUACUACCCGGUGUUUUCAUCUUUAGCUUGCCUGAGUUCAGCCAUGUCUGCAGCUGGUCUCGAAGCUUGACACAAUCUUUGGUGUCAUGAUUGUAAACAUUGUGGAAGGAGCAGUAUUUCUUGUCCUUUAGCUCCUCCUUGGGCGGUAUCUUGUGAUCCAAACGCACGUAUCUUGCCUCGAUGAGGUCAUUAAAGACCAGAUGGGUUUUCUUAGCAUCAUAGGUGUAUGACUCGUACUCUGGCUUGGUCCAUGCAAAGGACUGGAUGAUGAUUGGCUCGCGCGCUAUCUUCAGGUUUUUCAAUUUGUGAGUCAAUGGCUUGUCAGUCAGUUCUACCGCGCCAAUAUCUUCAUGAUCCUGAUCCGGGCGAGUUCCCUCAGACCUUUGAUAAUAGGAGUCAUAAGUAGGGGCUGCAGGCUUGAUGUCCCCACUGUCCGAUUCUUCCCUGUUAUGUAAGUUCCUUUGGAGGCAUUUGCUUUGUCAUCCAGCUCGUUCAAGAUUAGCUCAUAGCUACCGACCUUGUUAAUCAGGUCGCCCAUGGAAGUAAAGCGUUCUCCAUGAUGCUUCAAUCGCUGGCGGUGCUCCAGACCUCUAAUAGCCAACUUAAUGUCUUCCUGCUCAGGUAGCAGGUUAUCACACUUGGCUUGAUGGAUCUUGAAGCGUUGGAGGAAAGAAACUCCGGACUCCAUGCUCUGCUGGCUCAUCUGUGUGAGGGAGUCGAGGCCAACUUCAGGCUCAAUCGUGCCGUACGUUUCUCGGAAAAGUCUUUCCAUAGUGGGCCAAUCUGCUAUUGACCCAGGCUUCAAUCUGGAGUACCAGGUGAAAGCAGCCCCGGACAGAGAAGUCCCGAAGAGUUUGAGUUUGAGCAUAUCAUCAUUCUCGUAUUGGCCGCAUUGGACCUUAAAACGGGUCAUGUGUGUUGCUGCAUCUUCCCUUGUCUCUCCGGAGAAAGUGGUGAAGACAAUAUUCUUAAAUCCAUGAGGGAAGGGAUAUUGUGCCAUGCUAUCAGGAUAGGGAUCCCGAUAAUGUAAGUUAGCAUCACCUUUUCCGGUUUGCUCCUUGACUAUGCUCGAGAUGAGCUGGCGCCAAUCGGCUACCGUUACUGGUGUGGAUUCUGCCCCCUGAUCGUGGCCGUGCCAUGUAGAGAGGCUAGGGGCCUGCACGAUGUUCUUAGGGGUCGAACUGGAAUAAGCUAUAACUGGGUCAUCUGGUGUCCCGAUCCCUUGAGAUGGGAAGCCACCAGUGCCCCUGAGUGUGACUCCCGGGCCGCCCGGCGAGGGUAGACGGGGUGGCGUCUUUGACGAACUGGCCCCCAAUGUGAAUUGGGGAGUCUUCUGGGCCCCGACCCUUGGAUUUCCUCUAGGGCGUUCAUUAGGUGGAAUAUACCUUGAGCCCUCAGUUGCACUUGAACUAAUUAAGUUCAUAGCAUGAUUCUUUGGUGCCUGAGACCGCAUCCAGUCUUCCACUUGCAGGACCCUUAAGCUCAAGUUAUCAUGCUGCUCCUUGUAGCCCUCAAGCUUCUCCAUGCUAUUCUUACUUCCAAAGAAAGAAGCGUCCUGCUGUUGUUGUAGCUUGGUGUCGUGUUCGUCCAAGCGACGGGUUUGCACAUCCAGGGUUUUUGUGAAAGCCGCCUUGCUCUGAUCCAAAUCUUUCUGGAUCCUUUGAAGGGAGCCGUCCACCAAGUCCUUAUCUUCCCUGACUUUACCCGCAACGUAGUUAAACUCCUCGCUGAGCCUAGAAAGGUUUUCUUGGUUAGCGAGCCAGAUAGGUCUCUCUUUAGUGACCUGUUCAGAGAGGUCUUGGACGCUUUGCUGGGUGGUGUCGACUUUCAAGCUGAGCGAGUCAAUGUUUUGCUGGGUGGUAUCGACCUUCGAGCCGAGCUCCCUCUUGAGCGAGUCGAGAUCAUUCUUCAGUUCCCCAAACAUCUGGCGGACUUCAUCCGUGGGCAGAGUAAGUCCUGCGUCUUGGGUUGGUCGUGAACCUGUCAUUGUGGUUUCGCUGUGGUCGGGGUUGCCAAACCGAGCGAGAACCUCUUCUUGGGUGAGAGAUCGGCAAGCCGCGCUGUUACGGGGCUUGUAUUGUGGAGAUUUAUGUUUCAAACAAGAAAUCGAGGGUCUCCCGUAUGGGGAUCCGCCUGAUUUCCCAAUGGUGGCGAGAAUGUUAUACUCCCGGUCCCACUGGGCGUGCCAAUGUUUUGGCCACGAUCCUCAGCAGGGGUAGAGAGGUAACUUGUGCUACCAAAAGUAAAUUAGGGUCCCACUGGGCGUGCCAAUGUUUUGGCCACGAUCUUGAGCAGGGGUAGAGAGGUAACUUGUGCUACCAAAAGUAAAUUAGGGUUUGCAGGGCGUGACACCGCGCGGACGCGGAACGAGAACGGUGCGCGUUCUUGACUUCUAAUCAGGCGAAGUAGAGCUCCGGUGUCACCUCGCGGGCGAGGAAUUACGAGCAAACUAUCUAGUCACCUGUGAAUCGAUACUCACUGUUGUAAGCGAGCAGAGCGAAUAAUUGUAAGAGAGGCGAGUCGUAGACGGGCGUCUGAGAGUCUAAGACGAGGUGGUCACUUAGAACUUAGGGUUUCGAGGAUGCUCGAAGAUUUGCAGUUGUUUUGUAU